rnacentral:snoRNA from 1 species
CUGGCCUCUUCGAAGAUCCUUAUACCUUUGCUUCCGUGGUAUAAUGAUUCAAAGCGAAGCCUAGAAUGAUGUCUUCACGAUCAAUUUGGCCUCUACUUCUCAGUACAUAU